GAUGAACGCUGGCGGCGUGCCUAAUACAUGCAAGUCGAGCGAACAGACGAGGAGCUUGCUCCUUCGACGUUAGCGGCGGACGGGUGAGAAACACGUAGGUAACCUACCUAUAAGACUGGGAUAACUUCGGGAAACCGGAGCUAAUACCGGAUAAUAUUUCGAACCGCAUGGUUCGAUAGUGAAAGAUGGCUUUGCUAUCACUUAUAGAUGGACCUGCGCCGUAUUAGCUAGUUGGUAAGGUAACGGCUUACCAAGGCAACGAUACGUAGCCGACCUGAGAGGGUGAUCGGCCACACUGGAACUGAGACACGGUCCAGACUCCUACGGGAGGCAGCAGUAGGGAAUCUUCCGCAAUGGGCGAAAGCCUGACGGAGCAACGCCGCGUGAGUGAUGAAGGUCUUCGGAUCGUAAAACUCUGUUAUUAGGGAAGAACAAACGUGUAAGUAACUGUGCACGUCUUGACGGUACCUAAUCAGAAAGCCACGGCUAACUACGUG
rnacentral:rRNA from 1 species